rnacentral:lncRNA from 10 species
CGAGAGACUUGCUGAAGGAGAAACAAACUGUGAAGGCUGACCCUAGGGAAUGAGUGCUAUGCGGAUCAGAUCAAGAGAGGGCGGCUGCCUGGCUCUGAUGCUUCCCAGACUUGGGACCCAAAACUCAAGAAGACAACGAAACAUGGUUUUUGCUCUUGUUGCCCAGGCUGGAGUGCAAUGGCAUCAUCUCAGCUUACCACAACCUCUCUCCCGGAUUCAAGCAAUUCUCCUGCCUCAGC